rnacentral:snRNA from 1 species
ACUAUUCUUAAGACAAGGAUAUAUGAGCUACUAUGUUCCUUUGCUAGAACAAAGUCCUUUUGUAGGUUAAUGUAGGGCAGUCAAUCUUCUAAGAUUCCAGACACAGCCAAAUAAAGUGUUCUUAGUAGUAGUCUGUUUCUCUUU